rnacentral:rRNA from 1 species
UUUAAAUUGAGAGUUUGAUCCUGGCUCAGGAUGAACGCUGGCGGCGUGCCUAAUACAUGCAAGUCGUACGCUAGCCGCUGAAUUGAUCCUUCGGGUGAAGUGAGGCAAUGACUAGAGUGGCGAACUGGUGAGUAACACGUAAGAAACCUGCCCUUUAGUGGGGGAUAACAUUUGGAAACAGAUGCUAAUACCGCGUAACAACAAAUCACACAUGUGAUCUGUUUGAAAGGUCCUUUUGGAUCGCUAGAGGAUGGUCUUGCGGCGUAUUAGCUUGUUGGUAGGGUAGAAGCCUACCAAGGCAAUGAUGCGUAGCCGAGUUGAGAGACUGGCCGGCCACAUUGGGACUGAGACACUGCCCAAACUCCUACGGGAGGCUGCAGUAGGGAAUUUUCCGCAAUGCACGAAAGUGUGACGGAGCGACGCCGCGUGUGUGAUGAAGGCUUUCGGGUCGUAAAGCACUGUUGUAAGGGAAGAAUAACUGAAUUCAGAGAAAGUUUUCAGCUUGACGGUACCUUACCAGAAAGGGAUGGCUAAAUACGUGCCAGCAGCCGCGGUAAUACGUAUGUCCCGAGCGUUAUCCGGAUUUAUUGGGCGUAAAGCGAGCGCAGACGGUUUAUUAAGUCUGAUGUGAAAUCCCGAGGCCCAACCUCGGAACUGCAUUGGAAACUGAUUUACUUGAGUGCGAUAGAGGCAAGUGGAACUCCAUGUGUAGCGGUGAAAUGCGUAGAUAUGUGGAAGAACACCAGUGGCGAAAGCGGCUUGCUAGAUCGUAACUGACGUUGAGGCUCGAAAGUAUGGGUAGCAAACGGGAUUAGAUACCCCGGUAGUCCAUACCGUAAACGAUGGGUGCUAGUUGUUAAGAGGUUUCCGCCUCCUAGUGACGUAGCAAACGCAUUAAGCACCCCGCCUGAGGAGUACGGCCGCAAGGCUAAAACUUAAAGGAAUUGACGGGGACCCGCACAAGCGGUGGAGCAUGUGGUUUAAUUCGAAGAUACGCGAAAAACCUUACCAGGUCUUGACAUACCAAUGAUCGCUUUUGUAAUGAAAGCUUUUCUUCGGAACAUUGGAUACAGGUGGUGCAUGGUCGUCGUCAGCUCGUGUCGUGAGAUGUUGGGUUAAGUCCCGCAACGAGCGCAACCCUUGUUAUUAGUUGCCAGCAUUUAGUUGGGCACUCUAAUGAGACUGCCGGUGAUAAACCGGAGGAAGGUGGGGACGACGUCAGAUCAUCAU